UCGGGAAUUUUGGGCAAUGGGCGAAAGCCUGACCCAGCAACGCCGCGUGAAGGAUGAAGUAUUUCGGUAUGUAAACUUCGUAAGAAUAGGAAGAAUAAAUGACGGUACUAUUUGUAAGGUCCGGCUAACUACGUGCCAGCAGCCGCGGUAAUACGUAGGGACCAAGCGUUGUUCGGAUUUACUGGGCGUAAAGGGCGCGUAGGCGGCGUGGUAAGUCAGCUGUGAAAUCUCCGAGCUUAACUCGGAACGGUCAGCUGAUACUGCUGUGCUAGAGUACAGAAAGGGCAAUCGGAAUUCUUGGUGUAGCGGUGAAAUGCGUAGAUAUCAAGAGGAACACCUGAGGCGAAGGCGGGUUGCUAGGCUGAUACUGACGCUGAGGCGCGAAAGCUAGGGUAGCAAACGGGAUUAGAUACCCCCGUAGUCCCUGAGCGGGCUGGCAAGGCGCAU
rnacentral:rRNA from 1 species